rnacentral:rRNA from 1 species
UACAGAGGUCCCAAGCGUUGUUCGGAUUUACUGGGCGGAAAGGGUGCGUAGGCGGUCGGGUAAGUCUGAUGUGAAAUCUCUGGGCUCAACCCAGAAAUGGCAUUGGAUACUAUUCGGCUAGAGAGUUGGAGGGGGGACUGGAAUACUUGGUGUAGCAGUGAAAUGCGUAGAUAUCAAGUGGAACACCAGUGGCGAAGGCGAGUCCCUGGACAACUUCUGACGCUGAGGCACGAAAGCUAGGGGAGCAAACAGG